CCCAGACUCCUACGGGAGGCAGCAGUGGGGGAUAUUGCACAAUGGGGGGAACCCUGAUGCAGCGACGCCGCGUGGGUGAAGGAGCGUUUCGGCGCGUAAAGCCCUCUCGGCAGGGAAGAAGGAGGACGGUACCUGACUAAGAAGCCCCGGCUAACUACGUGCCAGCAGCCGCGGUAAUACGUAGGGGGCAAGCGUUAUCCGGAUUUACUGGGUGUAAAGGGGGCGCAGACGGCAGCGCAAGCCAGGAGUGAAAGCCCGGGGCCCAACCCCGGGACUGCUCUUGGAACUGCGCGGCUGGAGUGCAGGAGGGGCAGGCGGAAUUCCUGGUGUAGCGGUGAAAUGCGUAGAUAUCAGGAGGAACACCGGUGGCGAAGGCGGCCUGCUGGACUGCAACUGACGUUGAGGCCCGAAAGCGUGGGGAGCAAACAGGAUUAGAUACCCCUGUAUA
rnacentral:rRNA from 1 species